rnacentral:rRNA from 1 species
GAGCGGCGAACGGGUGAGUAACACGUGAGUAACCUGCCCCUGACUCUGGGAUAAGCCUGGGAAACCGGGUCUAAUACCGGAUGUGACCUCCUCCGGCAUCGGAUGGUGGUGGAAAGUUUUUCGGUCAGGGAUGGGCUCGCGGCCUAUCAGCUUGUUGGUGGGGUAGUGGCCUACCAAGGCGACGACGGGUAGCCGGCCUGAGAGGGCGACCGGCCACACUGGGACUGAGACACGGCCCAGACUCCUACGGGAGGCAGCAGUGGGGAAUAUUGCGCAAUGGGCGGAAGCCUGACGCAGCGACGCCGCGUGGGGGAUGACGGCCUUCGGGUUGUAAACCUCUUUCAGCAGGGACGAAGUUGACGUGUACCUGCAGAAGAAGCGCCGGCUAACUACGUGCCAGCAGCCGCGGUAAUACGUAGGGCGCAAGCGUUGUCCGGAAUUAUUGGGCGUAAAGAGCUCGUAGGUGGCUGGUCGCGUCUGCCGUGAAAGCCCGCAGCUUAACUGCGGGUCUGCGGUGGAUACGGGCCGGCUAGAGNUAGGUAGGGGCAAGUGGNAAUUCCU